UACGUAGGUGGCAAGCGUUGUCCGGAAUUACUGGGUGUAAAGGGCGUGUAGGCGGGAAAGCAAGUCAGAUGUGAAAUCCCAUGGCUUAACUGUGGAGCUGCAUCUGAAACUGUUUUUCUUGAGUAUCGGAGAGGAAAGUGGAAUUCCAAGUGUAGCGGUGAAAUGCGUAGAGAUUUGGAGGAACACCAGUGGCGAAGGCGGCUUUCUGGACGAUAACUGACGCUGAGGCGCGAAAGCGUGGGGAGCAAACAGG
rnacentral:rRNA from 1 species